rnacentral:lncRNA from 1 species
AAAAAAAAUGUAUACCUUAGUUUUGGGAAUUAGGAACGUUUAAAAAAAAUGUAGUACCUAAGAUAGGGUUACAUAGAAGAUUGAUUUGAAUGAAUAAAUUACUUAUCUAAUGAAAAAAAAAGAGAAAAAUGGAAGAAAACUUCUUAUUCACUUAAAAAAAAAGUGUAUAUAACGAUGAAGGAGAAGAGUAAUAUAAUUU